rnacentral:tRNA from 1 species
GGCCUGGUGGUCUAGUAGUAUGAUUCCUUCUUAGGGCUCCACAGUAUUUGGAGGAGGUCCCGGGUUCAAUUCCCGGCCAGGCCC